rnacentral:rRNA from 1 species
GCCAGCGGCAUUAGCACGUUGAAUGCACCAGUUCCCAACGGAUCACUGAAAUUAAGCAACAUUACGCGUGGUAAGUACCUGGAUGGUGACCAUCUGGGGAAUCCGCGUGCUGCUGGGU